AAUUUUCUCUGACUUCUCUCUAGGAUUCCAGCAAAUUCCANCGAUUGAAUCCUAAAUUAGUGGUGCUUCCUUGUUCCUGGAGUCAAGAGCUACGAAACCAUCCGAUUGGUUUCUUGUUUCGUCAGUGAGCGCAGUGUCAAGGUCACCGUUGGGGGCAUUCUCUGAAUUUUGAUUUUUAGCUUUCCAGAUGAGCAUGAACCCACUUUGGAGGAUGUUUUGGAAGACCAAGACAACACUGAUGCUGCAGCUUAGUUUUUUUUUUUAGGAUUUAUAAUCUGUUGACCUUCUAUUUGAACAUAUGUAUCUAUUUUGAAAAACUCUAGCAUUUU